rnacentral:rRNA from 1 species
UACGUAGGGGGCUAGCGUUGUCCGGAAUCAUUUGGGCGUAAAGCGCGUGUAGGCGGUCCGGUAAGUCCGCUGUGAAAGUCGAGGGCUCAACCCUCGAAUGCCGGUGGAUACUGCAGGGCUAGAGUCCGGAAGAGGCGAGUGGAAUUCCUGGUGUAGCGGUGAAAUGCGCAGAUAUCAGGAGGAACACCGAUGGCGAAGGCAGCUCGCUGGGACGGUACUGACGCUGAGGCGCGAAAGCGUGGGGAGCAAACAGG